UUGGGAGGGGGAGGACGCGGCGGGGCGGGGCAGGGCAGCGGGUAGCCGCUGGGGGCGCGUGACGCGGCCGGGAGCCAGGAACCAGGAGCCGGCGCAGAGCCCGCGGCGCCGACCUGAAACGGCCCCGGGGCGCUUCCACGGCGGAGCGUUGCAGAGCCGCUGCGCCACGAGCAUCGGCCCCAACCAGGGCCCUGGGUCCAGGUACUUCUGAAUUACAAAGAAGAAUCUGCUGGUUCUCCCUCCUGUUCCAGCUGACUGCAUCCACACCUGUUAGAUAUAUUCAACACCAACUCAGCAGCGGCAGCAUGCUUUACCAGUCCUGACUAACAGUUGCUAAAUUCAGCCUUCUGUCUUUUCUGCCUUUUUGCUUUUUGUUUGCAAGAGGUAACACUUCUGCUUCUUACAGACUUACAGAUUUUCUCAUAACCUUUUAAACAAUAAAACUUACCUAUAAACUCAAGUGCAGUAAACAGAAAUAAGAAAAACAGUUUAUAAAUGUUGUUACAGUGGUUAACUAAGGCAAGGGAUUCAUUCUUUGUAAGGAUUCAGAAUAUACUCCCUGAAGUUCAACAGUUCCUUACUGUUGUCAUGCUUUGCACAUAAAGCAUAUUACAAAUUUCACCAAAAUAAAACAGGCUGUUACUCCAAA